UGCACUUCGCUGACGAGUGGCGGACGGGUGAGUAAUGCUUGGGAACUUGCCUUUGCGAGGGGGAUAACAGUUGGAAACGACUGCUAAUACCGCAUAAUGUCUACGGACCAAACGGGGCUUCGGCUCCGGCGCAAAGAGAGGCCCAAGUGAGAUUAGCUAGUUGGUAAGGUAAAGGCUUACCAAGGCAACGAUCUCUAGCUGUUCUGAGAGGAAGAUCAGCCACACUGGAACUGAGACACGGUCCAGACUCCUACGGGAGGCAGCAGUGGGGAAUAUUGCACAAUGGGGGAAACCCUGAUGCAGCCAUGCCGCGUGUGUGAAGAAGGCCUUCGGGUUGUAAAGCACUUUCAGUUGUGAGGAAAAGUUAGUAGUUAAUACCUGCUAGCCGUGACGUUAACAACAGAAGAAGCACCGGCUAACUCCGUGCCAGCAGCCGCGGUAAUACGGAGGGUGCGAGCGUUAAUCGGAAUUACUGGGCGUAAAGCGCACGCAGGCGGUUUGUUAAGCUAGAUGUGAAAGCCCCGGGCUCAACCUGGGAUGGUCAUUUAGAACUGGCAGACUAGAGUCUUGGAGAGGGGAGUGGAAUUCCAGGUGUAGCGGUGAAAUGCGUAGAUAUCUGGAGGAACAUCAGUGGCGAAGGCGACUCCCUGGCCAAAGACUGACGCUCAUGUGCGAAAGUGUGGGUAGCGAACAGGAUUAGAUACCCUGGUAGUCCACACCGUAAACGCUGUCUACUAGCUGUUUGUGACUUUAAGUCGUGAGUAGCGAAGCUAACGCGCUAAGUAGACCGCCUGGGGAGUACGGCCGCAAGGUUAAAACUCAAAUGAAUUGACGGGGGCCCGCACAAGCGGUGGAGCAUGUGGUUUAAUUCGAUGCAACGCGAAGAACCUUACCUACACUU
rnacentral:rRNA from 2 species